UCGAACGGGAUCCAUCAAGCUUGCUUGGUGGUGAGAGUGGCGAACGGGUGAGUAAUGCGUGACCGACCUGCCCCAUACACCGGAAUAGCUCCUGGAAACGGGUGGUAAUGCCGGAUGUUCCAGUUGAUCGCAUGGUCUUCUGGGAAAGCUUUCGCGGUAUGGGAUGGGGUCGCGUCCUAUCAGCUUGACGGCGGGGUAACGGCCCACCGUGGCUUCGACGGGUAGCCGGCCUGAGAGGGCGACCGGCCACAUUGGGACUGAGAUACGGCCCAGACUCCUACGGGAGGCAGCAGUGGGGAAUAUUGCACAAUGGGCGCAAGCCUGAUGCAGCGACGCCGCGUGAGGGAUGGAGGCCUUCGGGUUGUAAACCUCUUUUAUCGGGGAGCAAGCGUGAGUGAGUUUACCCGUUGAAUAAGCACCGGCUAACUACGUGCCAGCAGCCGCGGUAAUACGUAGGGUGCAAGCGUUAUCCGGAAUUAUUGGGCGUAAAGGGCUCGUAGGCGGUUCGUCGCGUCCGGUGUGAAAGUCCAUCGCUUAACGGUGGAUCCGCGCCGGGUACGGGCGGGCUUGAGUGCGGUAGGGGAGACUGGAAUUCCCGGUGUAACGGUGGAAUGUGUAGAUAUCGGGAAGAACACCAAUGGCGAAGGCAGGUCUCUGGGCCGUUAC
rnacentral:rRNA from 1 species